AGUGAACGCUGGCGGUAGGCCUAACACAUGCAAGUCGAACGGCAGCACAGUAAGAGCUUGCUCUUACGGGUGGCGAGUGGCGGACGGGUGAGGAAUACAUCGGAAUCUACUUUUUCGUGGGGGAUAACGUAGGGAAACUUACGCUAAUACCGCAUACGACCUACGGGUGAAAGCAGGGGAUCUUCGGACCUUGCGCGAUUGAAUGAGCCGAUGUCGGAUUAGCUAGUUGGCGGGGUAAGGCCCACCAAGGCGACGAUCCGUAGCUGGUCUGAGAGGAUGAUCAGCCACACUGGAACUGAGACACGGUCCAGACUCCUACGGGAGGCAGCAGUGGGGAAUAUUGGACAAAGGGCGCAAGCCUGAUCCAGCCAUACCGCGUGGGUGAAGAAGGCCUUCGGGUUGUAAAGCCCUUUUGUUGGGAAAGAAAAGCAGCAGGUUAAUACCCCGCUGUUCUGACGGUACCCAAAGAAUAAGCACCGGCUAACUUCGUG
rnacentral:rRNA from 1 species